UACGGAGGGUGCGAGCGUUGUCCGGAAUCACUGGGCGUAAAGGGCGCGUAGGCGGCCCGUUAAGUGGCUGGUGAAAUCCCGCGGCUCAACUGCGGGGCUGCCGGUCAGACUGGCGAGCUAGAGCACGGUAGGGGCAGAUGGAAUUCCCGGUGUAGCGGUGGAAUGCGUAGAGAUCGGGAAGAAUACCAGUGGCGAAGGCGUUCUGCUGGGCCGUUGCUGACGCUGAGGCGCGACAGCGUGGGGAGCAAAC
rnacentral:rRNA from 1 species